rnacentral:rRNA from 1 species
UACGUAGGUCCCGAGCGUUGUCCGGAUUUAUUGGGCGUAAAGGGAGCGUAGGCGGACUUUUAAGUGAGAUGUGAAAUACUCGGGCUCAACUUGAGUGCUGCAUUUCAAACUGGAAGUCUAGAGUGCAGGAGAGGAGAAUGGAAUUCCUAGUGUAGCAGUGAAAUGCGUAGAGAUUAGGAAGAACACCAGUGGCGAAGGCGAUUCUCUGGACUGUAACUGACGCUGAGGCUCGAAAGCGUGGGGAGCAAACAGG